CUGCUGCCUCCCGUAGGAGUUUGGGCCGUGUCUCAGUCCCAAUGUGGCCGUCCACCCUCUCAGGCCGGCUACUGAUCGUCGCCUUGGUGGGCCGUUACCCCGCCAACAAGCUAAUCAGACGCGGGUCCAUCUUACACCACCGGAGUUUUUCACACAAAUCCAUGCGGCUUCGUGCGCUUAUGCGGUAUUAGCACCUAUUUCUAAGUGUUAUCCCCCAGUGUAAGGCAGGUUACCCACGCGUUACUCACCCGUCCGCCACUAAGA
rnacentral:rRNA from 1 species